AGAGAGGUGGCCGAGUGGUUUAAGGCGCACGCCUGGAACGCGUGUUGGGCGCAAGCCCUCGAGGGUUCGAAUCCCUUCCUCUCUGCCA
rnacentral:tRNA from 1 species